GGGUAGCAAUACCCAGUGGCGGACGGGUGAGUAACGCGUGGGAAUCUGCCCUUGGGUGGGGGAUAACAAGCCGAAAGGCCUGCUAAUACCUCAUAUGCCGAAAGGUGAAAGGAGUAAUCCGCCCGAGGAUGAGCCCGCGUCCGAUUAGCUAGUUGGUAGGGUAAAAGCCUACCAAGGCUCCGAUCGGUAGCUGGUCUGAGAGGAUGAUCAGCCACAAUGGGACUGAGACACGGCCCAUACUCCUACGGGAGGCAGCAGUGGGGAAUUUUACGCAAUGGGCGAAAGCCUGACGUAGCGACACCGCGUGAGCGAAGAAGCCCUUUGGGGUGUAAAGCUCUGUCAACGGGAACGAAUAAAUGACGGUACCCGUGGAGGAAGCAUCGGCUAACUACGUGCCAGCAGCCGCGGUAAGACGUAGGAUGCGAGCGUUGUCCGGAUUUAUUGGGCGUAAAGAGUUCGUAGGCGGUUUGUUAAGUCUGAUGUUAAAGAACGAGGCUCAACCUCGGAGGUGCAUUGGAUACUGGCAGACUGGAGUGUGGUAGAGGCGAGCGGAAUUCCCAGUGUAGCGGUGAAAUGCGUAGAUAUUGGGAAGAACACCGGUGGCGCAAGCGGCUCGCUGGACCAUUACUGACGCUGAGGAACGAAAGCUAGGGGAGCGAAUGGGAU
rnacentral:rRNA from 1 species